AUUGGCGUGAAUUCAUCGUGGUCGUAAAACUUAACCGCAUUAUCACAGCCGUUGAUCUUUUAAUAAAUUGAUGAGAUGGUUUUCUCUUUCAGAAACAGCGUUCUUCCUCCUCUUUCUUUUGGUUAGGAUUGCUUUGAAACGGUGUGAAAAGCCGGAAUCUAUGUGCGAUAGCUGUGAUGAUCUUGGAGUUUUGCAGAUCCAGGAAAAUCGUGUGACAUCUAUUAACGAGAUUCAUUCUGUGAACGAGACUUGAGGAUCCUGUGGUUUGGUGGAUGAUCCUUUCUGUUUUGUCCAGAUUGAGGUUAAUGGUAUCAGAUCUGAUUUGAUUUGUGUAUUAUUGAGAAUUAUAGAUAGUUGAUCUAUAUUUCAGUGUUGGUGAUGCAAGGAAGCUUGGAUGGAGGCAGGAGAUUGAUGUUCUAUUGUUUACAGAUGUUUGAUAGUUUGUCUUUCCGGCCUUUGCCAUGUUGGGUGCGCUCGCAUGGCAGGCCAAAUAUCUUUAAUAAAAUUAAUUUUUCUGUUGGAGUGGGAGAUCGUACGGGGUGAUUCUGCACCCUGGGUUCUCCUGGCAUCGUCUCUUGGUUUUACUGUUUUAUCUGCUUCACAUGUUCCUACUCCCUUCAGCUCAUUUAGGGGAUGCCACGACAUGAUACUCACAUUGCAAGGUAUACAACGAAUAGAUUUGCAAUUUGGUUUACUGCUACUCUCAAAUUUUGGUCGUUUAUCAGGUUAUAACAGCGCUCUAUAACAAUCGAAAGGUAUAUGCGAGUCAGUUA